ACAAGCAUUCCCAAUUCCCCAUCGGGCAACGGCUCCGGUGCGGCGGUGCCCAACCCGUACUACUCCUUCAGGCUCGUGAUCGACGGCCCGUACGUGGAGCCGUCGUGCCGCUUCCCUCUGGCGCCUGCGGCGGCGGCGGCGGUGGCGCGCUGCUGGUCGUGCUGGAAGUCGCGCCGGAUGGACCAGAGGACCUCGGCGCAACGCCGCAUGGCAGGGCGCGCCGCGCGGUCCGGCGCGGUGCACUCGGCCGCCAGCGCCAUCACUUUCUCCAUGGCCGCCACCACCGCGCUGGUCCUCCGCAUCCGGGCGUCCAUCGCCACCACCGCAUCGCCGUCCCGGCACUUCCGCAGCGCCUGCGUCCACACGUUAGGAUGUGGUUUUUACCCAUUGCGUGGUGAGGCGUUGGUGGCGGCCGCGGCCGCGCUCGAUGGGGCGUCGGCCGGUGAGGAGCUCCACGAGGAGGACGCCGAAGGAGUAGACGUCGCUGCGGUCGGUGAGUUGGUUCGUCCGCAUGUACUCUGGGUCUACGUAUCCUGCAGUGCCCUUCACCAUUGUUGA
rnacentral:lncRNA from 1 species